rnacentral:rRNA from 1 species
AUUUAACGCUGGCGGCAGGCUUCACACAUGCAAGUCGAGCGAGCGGCGGACGGGUGAGUAAUGUCUGGGAAACUGCCUGAUGGGGGGGGAUAACUACUGGAAACGGUAGCUAAUACCGCAUACCAUCAGCUUUACCCCGAUGGGAUUAGCUAGUAGGUGGGGUAAUGGCUCACCUAGGCGACGAUCCCUAGCUGGUCUUAGAGGAUGACCAGCCACACGGGAACUGAGACACGUGCCAGACUCCUACGGGAGGCAGCAGUGGGGAAUAUUGCACAAUGGGCGCAAGCCUGAUGCAGCCAUGCCGCGUGUGUGAAGAAGGCCUUCGGGGUGUAAAGCACUUUCAGCGAGGAGGCGUUACUCGCAGAAGAAGCACCGGCUAACUCCGUGCCAGCAGCCGCGGUAAUUC